GAAUAGAUGCCCCACUGCUAUGUCGGGGAAAGAGGAAGGAAAAAAGGCACCCACUGCUCUUUUCUGCUGAUUCAAUUUGAUACUGCAUCCAGCUGCUGCCAGGAUGGCGGGCUGAAGAAAGAUGACAAGGGGGCAUGCCUGUUUCUCAGAUGACUCUCCACAAGCAGACAGGGUGGACAGCUGCUCCUAGAGAGGCAAGGCUGACUGACUGCGAUGUCCAGACAGAGUAGUGAAUUCAGCAGAGAUGCAAUUUGAGGCCUGGAGGACAGGAUCCCUCUGCAGCUGCCAUCACACCUGCUUCUGACUGAAGGAGAGAGAUUCUAAGCCCCCCUGGCUUGCCUGGUGAGAAGAUGACACACAUGAACCAGGGGACCCCACCUCUGGCUUAAAGAAGUGAGCUGGUGACAGUGGAUUUCAUCAUGGGCCAUGACUGGCAGCCACAUUCCUGGGAAGAGACUGGAUCCCCAUUGCUCUCAGUUUUCCACCCCCCCCCCCCCCCCCCGGGGGUGAGAGUGGGGCACUCAGUGUGUGAGGCUGGGCAGCCUGUCUCCUAGGAGCUCUCUGCUGCAGGCAAAGGAGGCCUGUUAUCCGAUGCUCAGAAUCCUGCUGCCUCUCCUUUGAAGUCCCUGGGUGCUUCUCCUGGAGGGAGAAAUCACGGCAGGCCGGCUGCUGCCUCUGGUACCUGAAUGUGUUUUGACUUGGGAACAAAGUACUCUACAAAAUGAGUCCCCACAUCCGAGCUGGCUUUGAGCUGUGAUCUCAAAUUGGAACCUUUCAAGUUAUUUCACAUUUGGCCAAACAGGGUUCUUCUGUUUUUUGUUGAUCCCCCUUUUCUUAUGAAAAAAUGCUGACCUAAAAGGUCCCUGGGCACCAGUGAGUUCUGAGGAGACCACACCGCAGCUUGCUCGGUGACUGAAUCCAUCUCUUAUUACAUCUCCUUCUCUCCGUCCGAGUAAGCUGGGCCAUGCAGAGGCACAGGGGAUCACUAUGGACUCAUGAUUUAGAGGUCUAGUCAGCUUUGCUCCUGGCACCAACGCCAGGCAUGAGGCCAACACAGCCUUGACCAUCUAGGGCAGCCACUGCUCAAAUCAUCACAGACAAAGCAAUAGAGUAGCUGUUCUCAAUCUGUGGGUCAUGACCCCCAAAGUCCUUCGGAAAACAUAGAUGUUUACAUUAUGAUUCACAACAGUAGCAAAGUUACAGUUAUGAAGUAGCAACGAAAAUAAUUUUAUGGUUGGGGGUCACCACAACACGAGGAAUUGCAUUAAAGGGUCACAGAGUAAGGAAGGUUGAGAACCACUGUCUAGCUCGAUCUGCCUGCUCCUCUUGGGGAUAAUCCAAUGGACACACAAACCAACCUCUCUGACCCAUCAGCAGCAAGUAGCCCACCAGCCCUCUCAAUCCUCUCAGAACCAGGAAGGCCUCACUUUGGAAGUCCCUUUGCGGGGCCUCAGAGCUGGCAGCCUGUACUGUAGAUGACUGACAGGUGGGGUAUUCUGAGCUCACCCCUGCCUUCAGGACUGUGGGUCUCACCUGGAGCAGCCAGAGCUACAGGCAUCCCAGAGCAGCAGAGAUCUUAAGUCACUAACUUGUCCCUUGGUCUUGCAGACUCCACAGCAGCUAAGCAUAAAAAUGUUUGCUGAAUGAAUACAUGAAUCUCACGGGCAUUUAAUUAAAACAACAAACAGCCCCGGUUUGAGUGUCUUUCUUUUCAAAGCCUGAUCUGACAGAUUGUGUGGUCUUUGCCAGAGGGAAUCAUGGCGCCACGCUUUAUUU